rnacentral:rRNA from 1 species
GGAUGAACGCUGGCGGCGUGCCUAACACAUGCAAGUCGAACGGAGCUGCUUGAUGAAGUUUCGGAUGGAUUUAAAACAGCUUAGUGGCGACGGGUGAGUAACGCGUGGGUAACCUGCCUCACACUGGGGGAUAACAGUUAGAAAUAGCUGCUAAUACCGCAUAAGCGCACGGUUCCGCAUGGAACAGUGUGAAAAACUCCGGUGGUGUGAGAUGGACCCGCGUCUGAUUAGCCAGUUGCGGGGUAACGGCCCACCAAAGCGACGAUCAGUAGCCGGCCUGAGAGGGUGAACGGCCACAUUGGGACUGAGACACGGCCCAAACUCCUACGGGAGGCAGCAGUGGGGAAUAUUGCACAAUGGGGGAAACCCUGAUGCAGCGACGCCGCGUGAGUGAAGAAGUAUUUCGGUAUGUAAAGCUCUAUCAGCAGGGAAGAAAGUGACGGUACCUGAAUAAGAAGCCCCGGCUAACUACGUG